GUGCACUGACCAGCUCAGGACUGAGGAUGAAAAUGCUGUUCUUCCUCAGAUCUCUGAUGCUGUCUGUGUCAUGGCCCCUAGCAACAACCUAACGGCCAGCAAGACACCUAAGCAAGGAGGCAUAGCUUUUGGCCAAUACCUGGCCACUGUCUGCAGCGUCUGGCCGACUGCACAGGUCUUCGCUGGGACCUUGUCCCACACUUGACAGUCCCGGGGGAUAUCCAGGAGUUUUUCCGGCAUGAAUUUCUCCACGUGUCAGCACGUCUCGGUGUGAAAUAUUUUCACCACGCUGACCGCUUCCCCCUGAACAACCGCAAGCUGUGGUGCUGUGAUGGUGU